GGUUAGCAUAACCCUGAACUGCAUAUCAACAAAUGUCUGAUGGUCUGUCUAGUUCAUUUCUGAACACUAUGAAGAUAGCUACACAGGUAUCAGCUAGCAGCAGUGCACCCCUAUGAUAUACAAGUCUUCAUUGCAAAGUCACUCUGCCAAACAGUGUGUACACCUUUCUUGCAUUGGUUGUGACCCACUUUACUGUACUUCAAUGUCAGGAGUCUGGAUGUCAGGCCAAGGAGAUCAAGUUUGUGUCCAAGGUUACUUAGGUAAUUCUCUAAGAACAAUAGGUUAGUGGCUCAAUCAUUGUGCACUGACUCUCCACUGAUGCCUUGGUUCUCUACUGUCGCCUUUAUUGCCGUAAAGUUUAUCUAGUGAUCUACAUAUCAAGACUAAAUGGUCAAUUAAACAUGAGGUCAAGGAAAAAAUGAUGAAAAUUUCAAGGCUACAGGAGGAACAUUAAACGUCUCUCACUGUGAAAAGAUUCUACCAAUCUACAAAUGUUCAACAUGUUUUAUCUAAAAUUCAUCUGCCAUUUCUUCAAAUGGAGCCAUAGUCAGAAUAAGGUAAGAAAUAUUGUUACUCUUCACAGCAUUUAUUUAUUUGUAAAGCAAUGAUCCUGCAUUAGUUGUAUGUUGUA